AAGGAAUGCGGCGUGCUAUACAUGCAAGUCGAACGAACUCUGGUAUUGAUUGGUGCUUGCAUCAUGAUUUACAUUUGAGUGAGUGGCGAACUGGUGAGUAACACGUGGGAAACCUGCCCAGAAGCGGGGGAUAACACCUGGAAACAGAUGCUAAUACCGCAUAACAACUUGGACCGCAUGGUCCGAGUUUGAAAGAUGGCUUCGGCUAUCACUUUUGGAUGGUCCCGCGGCGUAUUAGCUAGAUGGUGGGGUAACGGCUCACCAUGGCAAUGAUACGUAGCCGACCUGAGAGGGUAAUCGGCCACAUUGGGACUGAGACACGGCCCAAACUCCUACGGGAGGCAGCAGUAGGGAAUCUUCCACAAUGGACGAAAGUCUGAUGGAGCAACGCCGCGUGAGUGAAGAAGGGUUUCGGCUCGUAAAACUCUGUUGUUAAAGAAGAACAUAUCUGAGAGUAACUGUUCAGGUAUUGACGGUAUUUAACCAGAAAGCCACGGCUAACUACGUGCCAGCAGCCGCGGUAAUACGUAGGUGGCAAGCGUUGUCCGGAUUUAUUGGGCGUAAAGCGAGCGCAGGCGGUUUUUUAAGUCUGAUGUGAAAGCCUUCGGCUCAACCGAAGAAGUGCAUCGGAAACUGGGAAACUUGAGUGCAGAAGAGGACAGUGGAACUCCAUGUGUAGCGGUGAAAUGCGUAGAUAUAUGGAAGAACACCAGUGGCGAAGGCGGCUGUCUGGUCUGUAACUGACGCUGAGGCUCGAAAGUAUGGGUAGCAAACAGGAUUAGAUACCCUGGUAGUCCAUACCGUAAACGAUGAAUGCUAAGUGUUGGAGGGUUUCCGCCCUUCAGUGCUGCAGCUAACGCAUUAAGCAUUCCGCCUGGGGAGUACGGCCGCAAGGCUGAAACUCAAAGGAAUUGACGGGGGCCCGCACAAGCGGUGGAGCAUGUGGUUUAAUUCGAAGCUACGCGAAGAACCUUACCAGGUCUUGACAUACUAUGCAAAUCUAAGAGAUUAGACGUUCCCUUCGGGGACAUGGAUACAGGUGGUGCAUGGUUGUCGUCAGCUCGUGUCGUGAGAUGUUGGGUUAAGUCCCGCAACGAGCGCAACCCUUAUUAUCAGUUGCCAGCAUUAAGUUGGGCACUCUGGUGAGACUGCCGGUGACAAACCGGAGGAAGGUGGGGAUGACGUCAAAUCAUCAUGCCCCUUAUGACCUGGGCUACACACGUGCUACAAUGGAUGGUACAACGAGUUGCGAACUCGCGAGAGUAAGCUAAUCUCUUAAAGCCAUUCUCAGUUCGGAUUGUAGGCUGCAACUCGCCUACAUGAAGUCGGAAUCGCUAGUAAUCGCGGAUCAGCAUGCCGCGGUGAAUACGUUCCCGGGCCUUGUACACACCGCCCGUCACACCAUGAGAGUUUGUAACACCCAAAGUCGGUGGGGUAACCUUUUAGGAACCAGCCGCCUAAAGGUGACAAAGGG
rnacentral:rRNA from 1 species